GAAGCACUGGUGACAGAGACCAGGUCAGAGCCAGUGAGGCUCCUGAUCUUUCCCUUUGACACCCUUCCAGGGGUCCUUCCUCCCUCCUGUGGAACCUAGGAGUCCAGAAUACCAGCCUCUAACUUUCCUCUGGGCAUGGGGCAGGGCUCAUCAUGCAGGACAUUGAUUUAUUUAUUCAAAAAGUGCCCUACUGUGUGCCAAGUACUGAGUUACAUGCUGGGUAUCUGGAGGAUGCUGACCCUUUUCUGAGACUCCCAGGGUAUUCAGGAUGCUGGUCUGCUGCUGCCACAGGACACACACUCAGGAGAGAAGGACAAGAGCCCAAGCCUGGGAUGGUGUCUGUGGCCAUCAUAGCCAUGUGCAGCUGUGACUUCAACCGCAGCCACCUCUUCUGUUUACCUUGGCAGUCACCAUGCUCCAUGGAUUCCUGGUUCCCAGCCUGAUCCACAUCAGUCCUAGGAGGAAAAUGAGGUGGCUCUAAAAUUCUGUACCUUGUCCCUGUCUCCCACUCUGGCCCUCUUGCUCUUUUAGUGGUGGGGAAUUUUAUGCUCAGGAAAUCCAAGGACCCAUCACUCACCCACCAGGUCCCCUGAUAUCCACACAGCCUCUGGAGCUGUGCCAUCCACAGUAUGGGUCCUGAGAAGCUAGACAGCUCCUAGGGAAAGCAGAGGCAUGUGAAGCUGGAACCUUUUCCGUUCUAGUCACUUAACAUUCUGCUGCCUCUUCCUGCCCUUGCUUAGAGGAGACUCCCAGCCUCAUUCUCUCCUGCCCACCCCAGUCUCUCCACACCCUGGUUGCUGCCCACCUUCAGAAUGCUUGAGGUACCCACACACAUCCCAGUCAUCCCCUAUGUUUCCCUGCCAACCCCAAGACCUGUUUCUGUGCUCUUGCUGGCCUGGGGAGCUUGCCCACACAGGGCCUCAGGCCCCUCUCACCUCUGACAGGCCCCAUGCCGGGCACACCGGCUGAGAGGGAGGUAGACAAUACAGCCAGAAAAAGCCACAAAGAGCCUGUGACCCUCAGUGUCCAGCUCCAGCCCUAUGAUCCGUCGUGCUGUUAGGGCUGCCCGCUUCCCACUGCACCUAGGAUGAGGCCAGAAGGAACCAGAGAUGGACAGGUGAAGCUACCUUUACCCUGAGUGAGUAGAAAAACAGAAAGCGGGGAGGUGCACAAGAAACUGAGCACAACCCAUGGAGCUGCCCUGCCCGACCACACUGUCCAGUCUUCUUGCCAAGCCUCUCUAGCCCAGAGUUCCCACCCUGCAAAAGCCAAUGUUGAUGUUUCCAAGCCAUUCCCACAUCCACAGCUGCUACCUCCCAUUCCAUCCUUGCUCUGCAGGGGACCUGCUCUCCAAAGGUCUCACCUGGCAGGGCUGUAGGCAUCAAUCUCUUCCAGGAGGAUCGGCUCAGGUCCCCCAGAUCGCCCACCUGGGGGCAGCACCUUCAGCACUGUCCCGUCAUUGGAGCCAAGGAACAUGACUGUGAUGUUACUGUGGGGACCAGCCAUGCCAUCCACAGCUACCUGGGUCAGUAGGGCCCUGGAGGAAAGGGCCUGAGGUCAGGGAACCUGUCUAGGGAAGCCUGAGCAUUUCAGGGAGAGCCCGGCUGUCCUGGUAGCUGUGGCUGUGCCCUCCCCUCAGGCCCCAGGGUUCUCUUCUUAGCUCUCUCCAUUCUGCUUUUACAAGUUCUUCCUCCUACCAAUGUGGUUUACCUUGUGGGGUCAAAGAAAAAGGAGGGUGGCUGAGGAUGGGGGAAGUGGUGUUUUUCAGCCCCAUACCUGCUAGUGAGAGUGAGUAGAGGCUGAUGGGUGGCAGGUGGCACAGCGGGGUCCAGCAGCGGGUGAGCCUUGAUGAAGGUCAGGACGUCAUCAGGGAGGUCUCGAGAAGAGGAGAACAAGGCAGCUCCCCCUAUUCCUGCACAGGAUCCUGGCCUGGGGGGUGCAUAGGAAGGGGCUGCCUUGGGACUGGGAGCUAGAGCUUACGUUAAGCUCUGUGCCCCCCAUUGCUCCCAAACAUGACUAGAAAGCCUUUCUCCCCCUCCACACAGACACUCAUACCACUGCUCCCCUUCCCUGCCAUAGCUCUUUGGUCCCACUGCUACCCCACUACAGCUCCCCACCCUGAGGCCUUGGAUAUCUUACCCCCUCCUCAUAAUCCCGUCUUGCAGAAGCAAACAGCAUCUGCCCCCACAAAAGCAACUCCGUCUUGGGUACCUGGGUGAGGGGACCCUGUCCUCAGACACAGGAGUCCAGGCCCCAUCCAGACUCCUCUGCUCCUUGAACUUGCCCUCAAACCCACGCUCAAUCUCAUCCAGGUAGAAGGCGCAGACAGCAGAGCCAGGGAUGCUGGAGGAGCCAGAAAAGAUGCAGGAUAGGUGUUGAAAGGAACUGCACAACUUUCCCCAGGAAGAAGUGGUGGCCCCCUUCACGCACCACGUUAGGAGGUAGAGACUGAGGAGGUGGGGCAGCCACUGGGUGCCACACUAGGAGAAAACAUGGUAGGCAAGACAGCAAACUGGCUUUGCUUAGAGGUUUCCUUGACGGCCCCCCAUCAGCAGGCUGUGAAAGGGGAGUUUGGAGGCUGGUGAGGCAGGGGACAGAUCAGGUCACACUAGUUAGACUAGUACCAACCUAUUGGUCUGGGUAGUGAAGACCCCAAAGAGAGCAGAGCGGCCAUGCAGGUUCACAGGCCCAGUCAGGGCCUGUAAGACGUCAAAAUAGAAAGUAGAGUCCCCAGGGACAGAGCAGUUGAGCCGCAGCUUCAGGAAGGAUGUCCAGUGGCGGUCCAAGGCCCGAGGCGAGCCGCCCAUGUCACGUUUACACACUCGGGCUACUCGGGAGAACUGCACCUGGGGGAAGAGAGUGGAGCAGACAGCAGUGAAGGAGCCACAGGGCCAGCUGUGUGCAUGAGCGUGGUGAGUUAGCACCAAGGGAGCAACGUGUGAAGCAUAGUGAAUGAAGGGUGUAUGGUGGUGGGUCAGUGUGGGUCAAGGGUGAGGGACAAGCAAAAUGGGGCAGAGGCCUCGGGGCUAUUCCAAGCUGGGGGCUGAGAGACCAGGGGAUUGCUUUGUGGAGAUCACUGUCAAGAGCUCUCCUCCCACUACAGACUGGCUCCUCAGGAUCCAGCAGAACCCUCCAGCUACCCACCCUGAUGCCCACCUCCUUACCCUCCCCAGUCGGGCAUCCUCCACAGAGACCUCGCGGAAGAAGAAGUAGACAUGGUCUCCAUGCUCCAGGGCAUGGACAAAGUGUGGCUCUAAGGUGGGGAGUGACAGGGAAGGGUAUAGAAGAGUAUCUGUAUCUGCUCAAAAGCUCCUGGUCCCACACCCCUCUCCCCAUUGUGUACAUACCCACUACCACACCCUCUGCCUGCUCCCUGCCACAGUCCUCCCUCUGCAUCUCCUCCCCGAGAACAGUCUCCUUUCCCCAGGCCCGCCCUGACCUCGGAGCCACUUGGAGUCGUACUUGGCGGAGCGGAGUGGGGGCUGAGGCCCGAGGCUUCUGUAAACUACAGCAUCACUGGCCUGGAAAUCCGCAGCUGUGGCUGAGUACAGGCUGCCCUCUGGAGGGAUGGGUGAAGUGGGGCCAGGGGAGGGCUCAGGGAUCUGCGUCCUGCCUCUUCUUGGGCCUCCCGCACCCCUGCCUAGGCCUGGCCCUGGCCCCUACCUCAACCCUCCACUCAGGGGAAGGGGGGCGGGGAAGACCAUUGGGAGAGGAGCUGAGGUGGGAGCUCCCUCCAGCCACAUGCUUGCUUCUCACAUGCCCAGUUGCACACCUGCAAAGACGGCCACGUUGGACUGGGUGGCGUCAAAGGGGCAUCGAGCCUGCCCACUCAGCUCCUCACCCUCCUGCUGCAGCGAAGUUAUCUGGGAGCAGAGGGAGCAGAUCCUAGAACCUUUAGGGUCUUGGAGUAUGGCUCCACUGACUAUCCCCUCCUGUCCCAUUGCCUCCUCCCCACUCCCUCUGCCCCUCCUGCCCCAUUGCCUCCUCCCCACUCCCUCUGCCCCUCCUGCCCCAUUGCCUCCUCCCCACUCCCUCUGCCCCUCCUGCCCCAUUGCCUCCUCCCCACUCCCUCUGCCCCUCCUGCCCCAUUGCCUCCUCCCCACUCCCUCUGCCCCUCCUGCCCCAUUGCCUCCUCCCCACUCCCUCUGCCCCUCCUGCCCCAUUGCCUCCUCCCCACUCCCUCUGCCCCUCCUGCCCCAUUGCCUCCUCCCCACUCCCUCUGCCCCUCCUGCCCCAUUGCCUCCUCCCCACUCCCUCUGCCCCUCCUGCCCCAUUGCCUCCUCCCCACUCCCUCUGACCCCUUGCAUUCUGGGCACUCCCAUUCCCCAACCCCACUUCCUGGUCCUUUCCCAUCAAACUGAUUGCCCAUCUUGGGGUCCCCCAACUCCUAUCCUGACUCCCACCCUCUCUUUUGUACCCCAUAGCUGCGGCACACAGGGCUGAAUGAGUUCGUUCCACAGGCAAGGAGCGUCUGGGAGUCCCAGGGAAGAAGAACACGAAUAUAGUUGUAGCACUCGUCCUAGAGAACCCAAAAUUCUAGAAGACUGCACAGAAAGAUGUUGGAUACAUUUUAUCAUGGAGGAGAGCAAAACUUUGGUGGGAGUUGGCUUGGUACAAAAGAAAAUGUUCCCGAAGGACACAGCGUCAGCAAAAGCUUUUACUUGAUUACACAGUGGAAACAGCACCAUUGGGAGCCAUUGAGACGUAGCUAGAUUCAUCUCUGGAGUAUGGCUUUGGAUAAACCACUUAUCUCUAAGUCUGAGUCUGUCAGCGCCUUUCUCUUUACCAUCGAACUCUUCAAAAGAGUUGGUUACAUUUUCAAAUCCAAGUUGUAUCAAGGGCCCUCAGCUCUGGACAGUGGAGUGAUGAAGAGAAAGGUGGGAAUAAGAAAGGAACCACAACCCAGCCGCCAUCUCCAAAGAACCAGUGAUUCCAGUUAUGUCGGUGGUGUGCCACUUCUGAAUUUCAAUUGACCCUUCAGUGAUUCCGGUUAUGUCAGUGGUAUGCUACUUCUGAAUUUCAAUUGACCCUUCAACUUUUCACAACCGAUCAACUUUCUACUCCUUUCCCUUCUUCUAGAACUUUCUUGUAAAAUCUUCAAAUCCCAGCCCUGUCUCUAAAAAUAAAAACUCUUCUCGUCCAGGCAUGGUGGCUCAAGACUGUAAUCCCAGCACUUUGGGAGGCUGAGGCGGGCAGAUCACUUGAGGUCAGGGGUUCAAGACCAGCCUGGCCAACAAGGUGAAACCUCAUCUCUAAAAAAAAAAAAACCACACAACUCUUUUCUCAGCCGAAUUUUAUUGAACAUCUAACUCGUUCCCACUGAGCUAAUUAUU